UACAGAGGGGGCAAGCGUUGUUCGGAAUUACUGGGCGUAAAGGGCGCGUAGGCGGCCUGUUAAGUCGAACGUGAAAUCCCCGGGCUCAACCCGGGAACUGCGUCCGAUACUGGCAGGCUUGAAUCCGGGAGAGGGAUGCGGAAUUCCCAGUGUAGAGGUGAAAUUCGUAGAUAUUGGGAAGAACACCAGUGGCGAAGGCGGCUAACUGGUCCAGUACUGACGCUGAGGUGCGAAAGCGUGGGGAGCAAACAGG
rnacentral:rRNA from 1 species